ACCAGUAUGGUAUAGUGUAUUGAGCAUAGGAUUAGGACUCCGGAGAUCAGGGUUCAAUUCCCUACUGGGC